UCAAUUGUCUAUUAAUUUUAGACUAGAAUGAAUGGAUUAACGAAAGCCGAACUGUCUCCUAUUUCCUAUCAAUGAAAUUAACCUCUCUGUCCAAAGGCAGAGAUUAACCUAUAAGACGAAAAGACCCUAAAAGCUUCAAAUAUUAGAUUACCUAGCUUAAACAACAACUAAAGAAAAGUUUUAAUUCCUAAAAUUUGGUUGGGGCAACCAUUGAUAUUAAAGAAUCAUCAAUAAUUUAACUAAUAACUUGCAUAAUAUCAGAGUUACAUCUCAAUUAAGUAAGAAACUUAUAAAAAUGACCCAGAAAACUGAUCAAUGAACAAGUUACUUUAGGGAUAACAGCGCUAUUUCUUUUUAAAGUCCCCAUCGACAAAGAAGCUUACGACCUCGAUGUUGGAUUAAGAUAUCCAAGUGGUGCAAAAGCUACUAA
rnacentral:rRNA from 1 species